CCGGGGCUGUCCAGGCCCGGUCUGGGGGCUCCUGGCGUUAAAGCCCCUGGCAGACGUUAUCUGUUUAACCCCACGUAAAGGCAACGUGAUCGCGGGGGGCUCCGCUUCCCCCAGCCCCGCUGCUCCUGGCAGUCCUCGCCGGGAACCGCAACCCGGCUCCGCAUCGCCUGGAUGUCCCCGGGCCCCGCGUCCUCCCCGCUGCCGGUGCCGCAUCCCCUCAGCCCCGCCCCGGUGGCUCCCGGUGUCCCGGCGGCUCUCGGCUCCCGCUGUCUCGCUAAGUCAUUAAUGGAUGCAGAUGUGCGGAGGGAGGUGGGCUCGGCUGAGCGGCGCGGCGGGGGACCGACACACCGGGCGAGGCGGAGAGGAGAACUCCCCACCUUGCUUUGAUCCCCGCGGUCCAGCAGCGCCCAUCACCGGAGAUGGGGCGAAGCGGCCAGAGUGAAGGGGAGCAGCCAGAGCGGAGCCCCGGGGGGACCCCCCACCCCGCAGCACCCUCCGCCUGGAAAUCAAAGGACGGAGGAGCCCCGUGGGGCACCGUGGACUGGGCUUUCCUGCCCGUGGGAGCCGCGGGGCCGGGAGGAGGCUGCUCCUGGCACGGAUUUGCAGCGGCCAAGUGGCGCAUGGCUGUCGGGGACGGGCUGGUUUGGUCACGGCGCUCCGUGGGAAGGGCAGCGCCUGCGGAGCCGGACAAGGGAAGCUACCUUCGCUCCCCCGGGGAUGCUCGAGACCCCUUCGCCUCUCCCGGACGGGGGAGCCGACUGUUCAUCCUGGGGCUUUUCCCACUGCACCCCCACGGUCGGGGCGUUGGGAACCCCCACAAGCGACCGGCAGCAAGAGGGACGUGAGUGAAGAGGUGCCACCGCCGGCCCCGGGGACUGCGUGAGGGUCAGGCUGUUCCCUGGAGACCUAGCACGGAGCGCGGCUCUCGGUGACACGAGCGGACGCCGUGGGGUCCAGGUGACCAAGAAGGGCUGGAGAAAAGCCAGGGCUGGGUUUGAAGCGUGGGCAGGAGCCGUGCGGACGCCUCCCCGUCCCCAGGGUAAGGGCUUCCCCCACCUCCCCGUAGAAGCAGCCCCACCGCUGAAGCCAGACGUGCCCGGGGGGUCCCAGUGGGGGGUCCCCCCCACACCUUGGUGCCAGACGGGGUGCCUGGACCGUGAGAUGACAUCCCAGGAAGCCGGAGGGACACAGAGCUGCUGCCACCGAGCCCGAGGCGUCGGGAGGACGAGGUCUGCAGCUCGAGGAGGCCAAAGGGAAAAAACUCCUGUUCAUUAAAGGUGUUGAAAGCCCCCGGCCGUGUCGCAGCCUGGUCUCCCUCGCGCCGCUGGUGUCUCAACAGAAUUUUGCCCCUUUUUCUUGCAGGACACAAAAAAUCCCUGCGAGACCCGGUGUCGAGGGUGCGUUUCCUUCCCGAUGGGCCGAGCUUUGAUCCCGCCAGCCCUCUCCUUCCCCGCGGCAGGAGGCAAUGGGUGUCCCGGGGGGGUCCCAGCCCUGGAAGGGACGAUGUCCUGUCCCAGGAGCAGCCUGGCUUCAGGCUUGGCCAGCGUGGGGCCGGGCAUGUCCCACCUCACCCUCGCUCCCUCUUCCUCUCCUCAUUUCCACCCCGUUCCCACCCAUUUCCCAUUCUCCCAUUUCCACCCCACUGGGUCCGGCCCCACUUUGCCGGCCCACAGGGCUCCCCGGCGGUGGCCUUGAUGGGGGACAAGUGGGACGGGUUGUGAAAAGGGGGACCUGGGAGAGACAAACACCCAGCCAACACCAGCAGCUCCCAGUGCACUGACUGGUUGCUCCAGCCCCAGCUGGUGCCGCUGGUCCUGAGGCUCACUCCAGCCCUUCAGCCCCCACUUUUCUGCCUUUAAGUCAAAUUUCAAGGCAAAAUCAGAGCCUGGAGACCCGCAGCCACAGGAGCAGGCAGGGGACGAUGCACAGCGUCACCGCAGAGGAUGGUGACUCCGGUUGCUCACUCGGCAUCAGGGUGCCGGAGCCGCGGAGCCGGUGCUGGGUCCAGCCGUGGCUGCCGGGGCUCAGUCCCCUCCCCAGGGAGGGCUGGGGGUUCCCACCGGUGCUUCUGGUGGCCAGUUAAACACAGCGGGUGAUGUGGGGCUGGGCUGGCUCUCCUGCGGAUGCACCAGAAGGACGUCGCCGCCGAAGCCCCUGCCUCCGAAACCCCCCAGCACGCGCUCGCCC